rnacentral:rRNA from 1 species
UGGGGAAUAUUGCACAAUGGGCGCAAGCCUGAUGCAGCCAUGCCGCGUGUAUGAAGAAGGCCUUCGGGUUGUAAAGUACUUUCAGCGGGGAGGAAGGGAGUAAAGUUAAUACCUUUGCUCAUUGACGUUACCCGCAGAAGAAGCACCGGCUAACUCCGUGCCAGCAGCCGCGGUAAUACGGAGGGUGCAAGCGUUAAUCGGAAUUACUGGGCGUAAAGCGCACGCAGGCGGUUUGUUAAGUCAGAUGUGAAAUCCUCGGGCUCAACCUGGGAACUGCAUCUGAUACUGGCAAGCUUGAGUCUCGUAGAGGGGGGUAGAAUUCCAGGUGUGGCGGUGAAAUGCGUAGGGAUCUGGAGGAAUACCGGUGGCGAAGGCGGCCCCCUGGACGAAGACUGACGCUCAGGUGCGAAAGCGUGGGGAGCAAACAGG